rnacentral:rRNA from 1 species
AACGAACGCUGGCGGCAUGCCUAACACAUGCCAGUCGAACGAGACCUUCGGGUCUAGUGGCGCACGGGUGCGUAACGCGUGGGAACCUGCCCUUAGGUUCGGAAUAACUCCCCGAAAGGGGUGCUAAUACCGGAUAAUGUCUUCGGACCAAAGAUUUAUCGCCUUUGGAUGGGCCCGCGUUGGAUUAGCUAGUUGGUAGGGUAAAAGCCUACCAAGGCGACGAUCCAUAGCUGGUCUGAGAGGAUGAUCAGCCACACUGGGACUGAGACACGGCCCAGACUCCUACGGGAGGCAGCAGUGGGGAAUAUGGGACAAUGGGCGAAAGCCUGAUCCAGCAAUGCCGCGGGAGUGAUGAAGGCCUUAGGGUUGUAAAGCUCUUUUACCCGGGAUGAUAAUGACAGUACCGGGAGAAUAAGCUCCGGCUAACUCCGG